AUCCAGCUGACGAGUUUCAAAUAGGACGAAACGUGAAUUCUGGAU
rnacentral:hammerhead_ribozyme from 1 species